rnacentral:lncRNA from 1 species
GUAGAGUCUACCGAGGAGGAGGUACCAGCAUUCGUAUUUGAAGCCAUAAUCAAUGAACCGGCUUAAAAAAACAGUUUCGACAAGUAGAGUAUAACCAAAUCAGAUAUUCACACACAAAAUCAGAUACUCACAUACGAAGCCAGAUAAUCACACACAAAGCAUACAAUACUCAAGAUAAGGACAGAGUUACCCCCCUUCUUCGCGACCGGAGAAGAUCGGCCUUCAAUUAACAUAGAAAAAACCUAGGUACAAAACCCUAGGUGCAACCGUCGAAAACCUUACUGGAAAUAUGGUCAGGGAUGUCGGAAAGUCGCCCAAAACAUCCAGUGAGUGAGGAUCGAGCCACCGGGUAGCAGUUAAACCCUAGGUUCAACCACCAGAAACCCUAGAAGCUGAUAAGUUACCGAAAAAUCACCCAAAAAUCAUCGAAAAAUCUCCCAGAACGUUCGAGUGAAGAAGAUAUACUCAG